AUUGAACGCUGGCGGCAGGCCUAACACAUGCAAGUCGAGCGAGCGGCGGACGGGUGAGCAAUGUAUGGGGAUCUGCCUGAUAGAGGGGGAUAACUACUGGAAACGGUGGCUAAUACUGCAUACUAUCGGUUCAACCCUUAUGGGAUUAGCUAGUAGGUGGGGUAAAGGCUCACCUAGGCGACGAUCCCUAGCUGGUCUGAGAGGAGGAUCAGCCACACUGGGACUGAGACACGGCCCAGACUCCUACGGGAGGCAGCAGUGGGGAAUAUUGCACAAUGGGCGCAAGCCUGAUGCAGCCAUGCCGCGUGUAUGAAGAAGGCCUUCGGGUUGUAAAGUACUUUCAGCGAGGAGGCGUUACUCGCAGAAGAAGCACCGGCUAACUCCGUGCCAGCAGCCGCGGUAAUAC
rnacentral:rRNA from 1 species